rnacentral:siRNA from 1 species
GGAUCAGGUGUAUCCUCCACAGC